AUGGUUAAGUUAGAAAGGGCGCACGGUGAAUGCCUUGGCACUAGGAGCCGAUGAAGGACGGGACUAACACCGAUAUGCUUCGGGGAGCUGUAAGUGAGCUUUGAUCCGGAGAUUUCCGAAUGGGGAAACCCACUGUUCGUAAUGGAACAGUAUCUUUAUCUGAAUACAUAGGAUAUUGAAGGCAGACCCGGGGAACUGAAACAUCUAAGUACCCGGAGGAAGAGAAAGCAAAUGCGAUUUCCUGAGUAGCGGCGAGCGAAACGGAAUUAGCCCAAACCAAGAGGCUUGCCUCUUGGGGUUGUAGGACACUCUAUACGGAGUUACAAAGGAACGAAGUAAAUGAAGCGACCUGGAAAGGUCCGUCRAAGAAGGUAACAACCCUGUAGUUGAAACUUCGUUCCCUCUUGAGUGGAUCCUGAGUACGGCGGAACACGUGAAAUUCCGUCGGAAGCUGGGAGGACCAUCUCCCAAGGCUAAAUACUACCUAGUGACCGAUAGUGAACCAGUACCGUGAGGGAAAGGUGAAAAGCACCCCGGAAGGGGAGUGAAAGAGAUCCUGAAACCGUGUGCCUACAAGUAGUCAGAGCCCGUUAACGGGUGAUGGCGUGCCUUUUGUAGAAUGAACCGGCGAGUUACGAUCCCAUGCAAGGUUAAGCUGAUAAGGCGGAGCCGUAGCGAAAGCGAGUCUGAAUAGGGCGUUUAGUAUGUGGUUGUAGACCCGAAACCAGGUGAUCUACCCAUGUCCAGGGUGAAGUUCAGGUAACACUGAAUGGAGGCCCGAACCCACGCACGUUGAAAAGUGCGGGGAUGAGGUGUGGGUAGCGGAGAAAUUCCAAUCGAACCUGGAGAUAGCUGGUUCUCUCCGAAAUAGCUUUAGGGCUAGCCUCAUGUUGUGAGAGUCUUGGAGGUAGAGCACUGAUUGGACUAGGGGCCCCCAACGGGUUACCGAAUUCAGUCAAACUCCGAAUGCCAAAGACUUAUCCAUGGGAGUCAGACUGCGAGUGAUAAGAUCCGUAGUCAAAAGGGAAACAGCCCAGACCACCAGCUAAGGUCCCCAAGUAUACGUUAAGUGGAAAAGGAUGUGGAGUUGCUUAGACAACCAGGAUGUUGGCUUAGAAGCAGCCACCAUUUAAAGAGUGCGUAAUAGCUCACUGGUCGAGUGACUC
rnacentral:rRNA from 2 species